UCAAACCAUAGAGAUAUGCAGUCAUCACAGAACGUGUGCUGAAAUUUUAAAGAAGAUUUAUGUGAGGUGAUCUGACGGGAGUCGACGAAGAAUGGAUGUGAGCUUACUUUUAAGAGAAAGUAGAAAGCAGUUGAAAAAAUGGCGAAAUAUUCUCCACCAAUAUUGUAAUUCGUGAAAUACUGGUACCACAGAGGGAUUGGCAACGCACCAAAAUACUACCCACACAUCAAGUUUGGAGAAAUUUGGAAGUUGAAAGACCAAACUGAAAUGGAGGAAUGAAAUUCAAGGCUUUUAAGAAAGACGUGUUUAAUAUGAGGGACACUUGGCGUUUAAUGGUGUUGUUUGCGUGAAGGAAUGUCCCUGUCAGACCUACGCCAACAAGGAUACCUGGAGAAGAGUU